CGCGGCCUAUCAGCUUGUUGGUGAGGUAAAGGCUCACCAAGGCGACGACGGGUAGCCGGCCUGAGAGGGUGACCGGCCACACUGGGACUGAGACACGGCCCAGACUCCUACGGGAGGCAGCAGUGGGGAAUAUUGGGCAAUGGAGGAAACUCUGACCCAGCGACGCCGCGUGAGGGAUGAAGGCCUUCGGGUUGUAAACCUCUUUCAGCAGGGAAUAAGCGAAAGUGAAGGUACCUGCAGAAGAAGCACCGGCUAACUAUGUGCCAGCAGCCGCGGUAAUACAUAGGGUGCAAGCGUUGUCCGGAAUUAUUGGGCGUAAAGAGCUCGUAGGUGGUCGAUCACGUCGGAUGUGAAAAUCUGAGGCUUAACCUCAGACCUGCAUUCGAUACGGGUUGACUAGAGUGUGGUAGGGGAGACUGGAAUUCCUGGUGUAGCGGUGGAAUGCGCAGAUAUCAGGAGGAACACCGAUGGCGAAGGCAGGUCUCUGGGCCAUUACUGACGCUGAGGAGCGAAAGCGUGGGGAGCGAACAGGAUUAGAUACCCUGGUAGUCCACGCCGUAAACGGUGGGCGCUAGUUGUGGGAACCUUCCACGGUUUCUGCGACGCAGCUAACGCAUUAAGCGCCCCGCCUGGGGAGUACGG
rnacentral:rRNA from 1 species